CCAUCACUACCCAGAUUAAGGCUUUGCAGACACUUGAUGUGUCAAAGAGACUUUCAUAAUUCAGAGUAGACCAACUGACAACCAAUGUGACUGGAAGUAGUUUCAGCUCCUGCUUCACUGAACAAUGGAGAGAAAGAAGGUGUACAUAUGUGUGCAUAGCGUCUGAGCACCCAUUGGAAGAGGAUGGACUACAUGAAGUCAGUGCUGGAUUCUUGGAUGAAGACUCCAUCGAGGGCCAGACCACAUGUCCACAGCCAAUUUGCUGCAUCCCUCUGGCCCCUCACAUACUUCUUCAUCCCAAGUGAAGGCUUCUUAUCUGUCACAAAGGCACAUCAAUCCUCACCCAGCAGAUAAUUCUGGGACCACCUUCCUCCUGACCUGAGAGAACAGCAUUUCAAUGAGACAAAGUCCAACCAUUCAGCAAGUGUGGAUCCAGUCAUUGAAAAACACUUCCACAGCCAAAGAGCUGUGUCCUGCGUAGACCUCCAUCAACUCUGAGUGUAAAAUACUCUGGGAGUGCUUAAGCCUUCAGUCUUGGACCCACUUUUCUAGGUCAUGGGGCUCCUCUUCAGAGAGGAAAACAGAAGGGAGUCAGGACAGAAAAUGAAUUAAUCACCUUGCUAGUCUGAUGACAGCUUCACUGUCUGUAUUUCACUGUAGACUAUAGGGCAGGCUCAAGGUGAGGAAGACAACUACUAUGAUAAUAGUGUCUUUAUAAAGGCAUUUCUACUGUCCAGUAGUGGGAAGGGGGAACUGCCAGCUCUUCUGAAGACCCCAAUAAACACUUGUAAGGAGAAUAGUCCUUAAGAUUCAUUGCCUCUGAGUAAUGUCAUGUCUCAUCCCUGAUCAGAUGGAGUUUUCACUCUUCGGGACCAAGGGCAACAGCAGGAGCCCUGUUCCCCAAUUUGGUUUGAAAUUUAUGCUGACGAAA